AUUCGUCCAAUUGAAGCAGAGGACAGUGGCGGACGGGUGAGUAACGCGUGAGGAACCUGCCUUUCAGAGGGGGACAACAGUUGGAAACGACUGCUAAUACCGCAUGACACAUUGGGGUCGCAUGGCCCUGAUGUCAAAGAUUUAUCGCUGAAAGAUGGCCUCGCGUCUGAUUAGCUAGUUGGUGAGGUAACGGCCCACCAAGGCGACGAUCAGUAGCCGGACUGAGAGGUUGACCGGCCACAUUGGAACUGAGACACGGUCCAAACUCC
rnacentral:rRNA from 1 species